GAUAACAUAUUAUGGUGGAUGGAUUUGGGGUCAGGCAGACCCAUCUCCACUAGCAACCCCAAUACUUCUAAGAGGAUGCAACCAUAACCAGUUUAUAGAGACACUUAGGUUCCUGUCUGUUUAAACCAGCUUCAUAGGAUGACAAUGAAAUGAUGUAUAGAGUGCAACCUAAUACUCUCAAGCAAGUGAUCCAGCUCCUCCCCAAGAUAAGGUCUGUGAGUCUGUAGACUGUUUCAGUAUUUCAGAGUUAUGUCUGGGCUUGAAAAGCACUCUGGGGUUCUUUCAUGCACACGUCUUGUUCUCCAUCAAUGAGUUGGGUCCAUCAGAUGAUGAGCCCGGGUUUCUGCUUGC
rnacentral:lncRNA from 1 species